UACGUAGGGUGCAAGCGUUGUCCGGAAUUAUUGGGCGUAAAGGGUUCGUAGGCGGUUUGUCGCGUCUGCUGUGAAAAUGCGAGGCUCAACCUCGCGCCUGCAGUGGGUACGGGCAGACUAGAGUGCGGUAGGGGAGAUUGGAAUUCCUGGUGUAGCGGUGGAAUGCGCAGAUAUCAGGAGGAACACCGAUGGCGAAGGCAGAUCUCUGGGCCGUAACUGACGCUGAGGAGCGAAAGCGUGGGGAGCGAACAGG
rnacentral:rRNA from 1 species